UUAGGAGAAAUUUAUACUUAGGAGUGUAAUUACAUUCUUCUAGUUUAGACAUGCAGAACCUGCAGGAUCACCUGUUGGAAAUGACUGUUUGUGUAGUGAUGGUGAAGGGAUUCGGCACGACUGGCUCCAAAACUGAUGAAAUGAGGCUCCAGCAGCCCACUCCAAGUGGAUUAUAUCACUCUUUGCAAGCUCUUAGAGCCUAUGCAAGGCCUUUGUCAUUCCUCUGCACUGACAGAACAUGGCAUUCGCUCUGAGUGGAAAGUGUCAUCGGAAAGGUGGCUGCUUUGCUUUGAAGGAUCUUUGAUGCCAGGAAAAUUCCACCAGCUCAUCCUGUUGCCAGUAACAGAGGAUAGGAAGCAACCACACUCCAUUCCAUUCAAUUCACUGUAGAGGGCAAGGAGGGUUACUCAAGGUUUAAGCUUGAAUGUACAAAGCAGAACCUCUGAAGGCUUGAUCCAGCAGAGGUCUUAAGCUUCUCUGGGUUACGUGGUUCAGUAUCUAAUUUUAGUUGCCUGACCCCUAAUUUACAUUGUGGACUGUAGAAAGUGAUGCUCCCAACAUAUCUUUGGGAUUCUUCCAACAAAACACUGCUGCUACAGACUGCCAUAGACGUAAAAACACAGUCUCGUAUUUGCUUUAAUUCAGUUUCACACUAGUAUAGAAAUGUAGAAAGGACAGGAGAUAUAUGUGGGAAUUUUGCUAUUUUCCUUUUUCUGACAUUUGCCAAGGAAUCUUGUUCUUUAUGGCUUGUUUAUGUGCUUGAUGAUCCCCCUUGGCUCAGCUGCAAUUGGCCACAUAUCUCCAGGAGCUGUUUCUACUGUCAGGCCCUCAUUUCUGGCAUAUGCUGGAAUAAAAUCUUUAUUGCACCUAGCCUGUAGGCUGCAUGAAAACUAUUGUAGAAAGGGAGGAAGAAAGAGGGAAAUUAAGGACAUAUUUGUAAAGCUUUGUCCCUGAAUUUCCUAGUUUUUGUUAGUUUUCCUCUCAGUAGUAUUUUUAAUAAUGUUUUCCUUCAUUAUUUUCCUAAUUCUUCUUCCAUAUAAAAUUAUUGAGGCAUGUAGUACAUUGCAGGAUGUGAGGAGUUAUUCCGAUCAGUACUGAAUGGUUAAGUUACCUAAGGCUUCUGAUAAGAAUACACAAGUGAUGCGCUUUUUUUCCUGUUGUGUAUGUAGCAGCAUUGAAAUUACUGAUCUCCUUGCCUAACCCAGACUUAUUUAGAGAAAUAAAAUUUUAGACUGUCUCUUCUAAUGAGAGAGCAGAAUGCUGUCCGCAUCAUAUAGUAAUCCUUUUUAAAGCAGGGACACUGUCUAUAAUUUUCUACAUAAAUGGGAAAAAAAGUAAUCUUAUCUACUGCAUAUCCCCCUUUCAGUGUUAUGCCGCUUUAGUCAGGCUAAAGCUGUUGACAGAAAUUUCUCCACUCAGAUGAGAAGCAAAGAUGAGAAGUGGUUUCGCAAUGGUGAUGGAAAAGCUUUAUAUAACGAGACAAAUCCCAGAGUCUCUAGGGAGCUCAUUCAGCAUGGAACCAUUUCAUGUUUCUUUCAUUAUGGGAAUGAUAUUCUAUCUAUUAAAAGUACAGAAGUGAGAUUGUCCAUGCAGUUAUUUUAAUAGGAUGAUUCUGAGUGGGUCACCAUUUGGUUUUGAAAACAAGAGCACACAAGCCUAUUUGUCAACUGCACCAGGCUUCAAACAAUUCCAAUCUAUUGUAGGAUGGUGGCUUUAGAACCUCUUACUGUAUAAACCUGUUAAGGCAUUACAACAUAAACAACACAAUCUACCAGAGCUGCAAAACUAUUAUUCGAGGAGUCCAUUUAGUUUCAUAAACUUUUCCCAAUUCCCUGACAUUUUAAACAAAAUAUGACAGGCAUUUAUAUUGUAUAGUAUACAAGAAAGAUCACUUACUGCAUGAAAAACUUAUCUAGUGGCUUUACCAAUAAGGAGAGAAAAGACAAAAUGAUGGAAAGCAGGAACCACUUUGUGAUACUUUGUAUUAUUUUUUGAAGUGCACCAGUAAGGUCAUAAUUCCUGUGAUCUUUGCAAAGAUAUCUUUGCUGUGUAAGUUCAGUUAUACUCAAGGAAGGAGGUUGCCUAUCGGAAAUGUAUAAAGUGACCCAUAGUGCAGUAAAGUUGAGGCAAAUACAGUUGUUUGUUCUGAACAGUCAUUUUUUAUUUUUGGUAAAGUGAGGAGUUUUGUUUUCUUUUGUUCUGAGUUUUGUUUUCUUUCUUUUUCUUUCCUGGGUAUUUUUUGCUGUUAUAUAAGAUGUUGUUUUCAGUAUAUGGUCUGAGGUGUAAUGUCAUAUAUACUGACAUAGCAUCCUGUGCAAAGAGAGGAUGCUAGCUAAUCUUUCAGGGAACACAAACAAACAAACAAACAAACAAAUAAAUAAAAUUAAAUAAAUGAAGCUCAAUGCAAAACUA